rnacentral:lncRNA from 1 species
GCUCUCUACGGCGUUCUGUUUGAGAAGAGCAAGGAAGCUGCCUUCGCCAAUCACCGCCUGUGGGAGGCCCUGGGCUUCGUCAUUGCCUUCGGGUACAGCACGUUUUUGUGCGUGCACGUCAAGCUCUACAUUCUGCUGGGGGUCCUGAGCCUGACCAUGGUGGCGUAUGGGCUUGUGGAGCGCGUGGAGUCCAAGAACCCGAUCAGACCCCACGCUCCAGGACAGGCGAACCAGGCAGAGGAUGAAGAAAUACAAACAAAAAUGUGA